rnacentral:rRNA from 1 species
UACGUAGGCAGCAAGCGUUGUUCGGAGUUACUGGGCGUAAAGGGUGCGUAGGCGGCCCUGUAAGUAUGGUGUGAAAUCUCCCGGCUUAACUGGGAGGGUGCGCUAUAGACUGCGGGGCUCGAGUGUGGGAGAGGAAAGUGGAAUUCCUGGUGUAGCGGUGAAAUGCGUAGAUAUCAGGAGGAACACCGGUGGUGUAAACGGCUUUCUGGACCAUAACUGACGCUGAGGCACGAAAGCGUGGGGAGCAAACAGG